rnacentral:rRNA from 1 species
AAGAAGUUAAUUAAGGGCGUACGGUGGAUGCCUAGACACGAAACAGCGAUGAAGGACGUGACGUAGCUGCGAUAAGCUUCGGGGAGGUGUGUAGUAACCUGUGAUCCGGAGAUCUCCGAAUGGGGCAACCCAAUUGAGUGAACCUCAAUUAUCCCGAUGCAUAAGACAUCGUGGGAGCAAACCUGGGGAAGUGAAACAUCUCAGUACCCAGAGGAAAAGAAAACAAGUCCGACGCAAGUCGGAUACCAUUCCCCUAGUAGCGGCGAGCGAAAAGGGAGAAGCCCAAACCAAGUGCUUAAGCAAUUGAGUGCUUGGGGUUGUAAGGUAGAGACUUUCUCUUUGGGUCGCAAAGCCCUAAAUCCGCUUAGUCGCGGAUCAGGGUUCUGCGACUGUGAAGAGAGGGAAGUUACAAAAUUGUGUGUUAGUCGAACGGGCUGGAAAGCCCGACCAUAGUGGGUGAAAGUCCCGUAGGCAAAAAUAUGCAAACUUCCUGUUUCUGUCCUUGAGUACCUCGAUACAAGAAAGUGUUGAGGGAACCAUCCCGGACUAUCGGGAAAGGCUCAAUAUGUUUCGUGAUCGAUAGUGAAGAGUACCGUGAGGGAAAGGUGAAAAGUAGCCCGGUGAGGGCGGUGAAAUAGACCUGAAACCGUAUGCUUACAUAGAGUCGGAGCCCGCAAGGGUGACGGCGUGCCUAUUGAAGAAUGAGCCAACGAGUUUAUGUGUAUUGCAAGUUUAAGUUCUACUGGAACGAAGGCGCAGCGAAAGCAAGUGUUAAUAGCGCGUUUAGACCCAGUACUUCACAAAUCUCACUAAUUUGACGGAGCGAAUUUUGAGACAGAUUCGCGACGCGAGGAGCGAUGUGUAUCUCGUGAUACAUGAGCAACGAGCAACAAAGAAGAUGGCGAAAAUUCGCCCGCUUCAAGAAGAAGCUUAAUAAUGGCAAAUUUCUUCGUUGCUCCUCCUCAAAGUACUCUCCGAGUACUAAAUCGUCGUCGCAUCUCGAAAUUUACUCGUUAUUAAGCUUUCAAAUUUAGUGAUAUUUGUGAAGUACUGGGUCAGAGCAGUAUGCAUAAGACCCGAAACCAAGCGAGCUUACCUUGGCCAGGAUGAACUUCGACGAAAGUCAAAGGGAGGUCCGCACCGGUUAGCGAGGCAAAACUAUCGGAUGAGCUGAGGUAAGGAGUGAAAAGCUAAUCGAGCUUGGUAAUAGCUGGUUCUCUCCGAAACAGUUUUUGGACUGGCGUCUCGUGUUUCCCCCUGGGGGUAGAGCACUGGAAGGUCUGUAAUGGGCGCAAGCUCGGCAGACCUAUCAAACUCCGAAUACCGGGGUGUGUAGCGAGGCAGUUAGACUGUGGGGGCUAAGCUCCAUGGUCGCGAGGGGAAAAGCCCAGAUCGUCAUCUAAGGUCCCUAAAUAUCUGCUAAGUGUUAAAGGUAGUGAUUCACCAUAGACAGAUAGGAGGUUGGCUUAGAGGUAGCCAUCCUUUAAAGAGUGUGUAACAACUCACUAUUCGAUUGGUGGAUUGCGCCGAAAAUUUAUCGGGGCUAAGCAGAUUACCGAAGAUACGGAUAUCAGUGCUUCGCACUGGAGUUUUCAAGGCGCAAUUUUCAGUUUUCAUUGAUUUUUCAAUGUUUCAUUGAUUCAUUGGAAUUUGAUCGAAAAUUAGAAAUUGAAAAUUGGAAAUUCCAAUGCGAAGCAUUGGUGUGGUAGGAGAGCAUUCCCAGGGCAUUGAAGGUUGACCCGCGAGGGCAGCUGGAGCGCUGGGAAGAGAGAAUGUUGGCAUGAGUAACCGCAAAGCCGGUGAGAAACCGGCUCUCCGAAAAUCCAAGGUUUCCGUGGCAAUGGCAAUCAGCCACGGGUUAGGCGGUCCUAAGGCAAUGGGGAAACCCGCAGCCGAUGGACAGCUGGUUAAUAUUCCAGCCCUUCAUUAUUUUUCGAUGGGGUGACGGAGUGUAGUAGGUCAAGCGCCUUAGUGGUUUGGCGUCCUUUGCUUGAGGGUGUGCGUUUGGUAAAUCCGGCGCGCAUAAGCCCAAGAGUUGAGGUAAGGUAGAGCUUUUGUUCUGCCAAGUUGACUGAGCAUGCUUCCAAGAAAAACCUCUAAGGUUAGGAAUAGUGAACCCGUACCGAAAACCGACACAGGUAGAUAGGGCGAGUAGCCCAAGGAGAACGAGUGAUUUCUCGCCAAGGAACUCGGCAAAAAAGCGGCCGUAACUUCGGGAUAAGGCCUGCCCUGCGCAAGCGGGGCCGCAGCUAAAGUACCUCUGGCGACUGUUUACCAAAAACACAGCUCCCUGCGAACUCGUAAGAGGAUGUAUAGGGGGUGACGCCUGACCGAUGCGAGAAGGUUAAAUCUGGCGGUGUGUGCAGCUUGCUGUGCAUGCUGACUGGAUGAAGCCCUCGUCAAUGUCGGCCUUAACUAUAAGGGUCCAAAGGUAGCGCAUUUCCUUUCCGGGUAAGUUCCGGAGCGCACGAAUGGCGUAACGACUGGAGGACUGUCUCGGCGAGAAGCUCGGUGAAACUGCAAUCCCAGUGAAGAUGCUGGGUACCUGCAGCGGGACGAGAAGACCCCGGGAGCUUUACUGUAGCUUGGCAUUGGCUUUAGGGUUUGUUUGCGCAGCGUAGCGGGGAGGCUUUGAAACUUUA